UACAGAGGGUGCAAGCGUUAAUCGGAAUUACUGGGCGUAAAGCGCACGUAGGUGGGUGCUUAAGUCGAAUGUGAAACCCCUAAGCUCAACUUGGGAACUGUAUGCGAUACUGAACACCUAGAGUAUAGUAGAGGGAAGUGGAAUUUCCGGAGUAGCGGUGAAAUGCGUAGAUAUCGGAAGGAACACCAGUGGCGAAGGCGGCUUCCUGGGCUAAUACUGACGCUGAGGUGCGAAAGCGUGGGGAGCAAACAGG
rnacentral:rRNA from 1 species